AACGAACGCUGGCGGCAUGCCUAACACAUGCAAGUCGAACGAGACCUUCGGGUCUAGUGGCGCACGGGUGCGUAACGCGUGGGAACCUGCCUUUAGGUUCGGAAUAACUCAGAGAAAUUUGAGCUAAUACCGGAUAAUGUCUUCGGACCAAAGAUUUAUCGCCUUUAGAUGGGCCCGCGUAAGAUUAGCUAGUUGGUGGGUAAAGGCCUACCAAGGCGACGAUCUUUAGCUGGUCUGAGAGGAUGAUCAGCCACACUGGGACUGAGACACGGCCCAGACUCCUACGGGAGGCAGCAGUGGGAAUAUUGGACAAUGGGCGAAAGCCUGAUCCAGCAAUGCCGCGUGAGUGAUGAAGGCCUUAGGGUUGUAAAAGCUCUUUUACCCGAGAUGAUAAUGACAGUAUCGGGAGAAUAAGCUCCGGCUAACUCCGUGCCAGCAGCCGCGGUAAU
rnacentral:rRNA from 1 species